GAUGAACGCUAGCUACAGGCUUAACACAUGCAAGUCGAGGGGCAGCAUCAUCAAAGCUUGCUUUGAUGGAUGGCGACCGGCGCACGGGUGAGUAACACGUAUCCAACCUGCCGACAACACUGGGAUAGCCUUUCGAAAGAAAGAUUAAUACCGGAUGGCAUAGUUUUCCCGCAUGGGAUAAUUAUUAAAGAAUUUCGGUUGUCGAUGGGGAUGCGUUCCAUUAGGCAGUUGGCGGGGUAACGGCCCACCAAACCAACGAUGGAUAGGGGUUCUGAGAGGAAGGUCCCCCACAUUGGAACUGAGACACGGUCCAAACUCCUACGGGAGGCAGCAGUGAGGAAUAUUGGUCAAUGGACGAGGGUCUGAACCAGCCUAGUAGCGUGAAGGAUGACUGCCCUAUGGGUUGUAAACUUCUUUUAUAUGGGAAUAAAGUGAGCCACGUGUGGCUUUUUGUAUGUACCGUAUGAAUAAGGAUCGGCUAACUCCGUGCCAGCAGCCGCGGUAAUACGGAGGAUCCGAGCGUUAUCCGGAUUUAUUGGGUUUAAAGGGAGCGUAGGCGGGUUGUUAAGUCAGUUGUGAAAGUUUGCGGCUCAACCGUAAAAUUGCAGUUGAUACUGGCGACCUUGAGUGCAACAGAGGUAGGCGGAAUUCGUGGUGUAGCGGUGAAAUGCUUAGAUAUCACGAAGAACUCCGAUUGCGAAGGCAGCUUACUGGAUUGUAACUGACGCUGAUGCUCGAAAGUGUGGGUAUCAAACAGGAUUAGAUACCCUGGUAGUCCACACAGUAAACGAUGAAUACUCGCUGUUGGCGAUAUACGGUCAGCGGCCAAGCGAAAGCAUUAAGUAUUCCACCUGGGGAGUACGCCGGCAACGGUGAAACUCAAAGGAAUUGACGGGGGCCCGCACAAGCGGAGGAACAUGUGGUUUAAUUCGAUGAUACGCGAGGAACCUUACCCGGGCUUAAAUUGCAACUGACGGAAUCGGAAACGGUUCUUUCUUCGGACAGUUGUGAAGGUGCUGCAUGGUUGUCGUCAGCUCGUGCCGUGAGGUGUCGGCUUAAGUGCCAUAACGAGCGCAACCCUUAUCGAUAGUUACUAGCAGGUCAUGCUGAGGACUCUAUUGAGACUGCCGUCGUAAGAUGUGAGGAAGGUGGGGAUGACGUCAAAUCAGCACGGCCCUUACGUCCGGGGCUACACACGUGUUACAAUGGGGGGUACAGAAGGCAGCUACACGGCGACGUGGUGCUAAUCCCGAAAGCCUCUCUCAGUUCGGAUUGGAGUCUGCAACCCGACUCCAUGAAGCUGGAUUCGCUAGUAAUCGCGCAUCAGCCACGGCGCGGUGAAUACGUUCCCGGGCCUUGCACA
rnacentral:rRNA from 1 species